rnacentral:rRNA from 1 species
CCUAAGGUAGCGAAAUUCCUUGUCGGGUAAGUUCCGACCUGCACGAAUGGCGUAACGAUCUGAGCGCUGUCUCAACGAGGGACUCGGUGAAAUUAUAUUAUUGGUGAAGAUACCAUGGAAUGGCCGUCGCUCAACGGAUAAAAGGUACUCCGGGGAUAACAGGCUUAUCACGCCCAAGAGUCCAUAUCGACGGCGUGGUUUGGCACCUCGAUGUCGGCUCAUCGCAUCCUGGGGCUGGAGCAGGUCCCAA